AACAGCCACAAGCAUAUACACGAAUCAGACUAGCCUCUGCAAGUCAUACGUAAAACCUUUGCAAAAUAAAAGUACCCUAGCUGCACUGUUAACGAAGCCAUUUCACUUGUGUUCCAAUCGUAAGGACAAUAACCAGAAGUAAAGAGCGAUAUGGGGCGUAUACCUAAGGAAGAAAGCACACAGCAUGACGAAUACGGCAUUCUGUCCGUUGGAGAAAAGGCAAUGCUGGGGGCGCUCGAGUCCGUGUGCAAGGCUGUAGAGGACGGACGUAUGACGGCUAGUGACUAUUAUUUCAAGUUCACCACAACCGAAUUCAAUA